CUCCUCUGCUACUUUUUCUAAGGUCUUGUGCUCCUUUUUCUCUAUGAAUCUUUCAGCAAUCCAUAGUAAUAAUAGCUUCCGAACUUGACUGUCCUCGUCUUCAUGGAAUGCACUAAGAUAGAGGAAACAUGGCUUCAAAUGAUUUGGUAAAUGCAUGUAACUAAGUUUUAAUGUGAGAAUGUAGUCGUCAGCUUUUUGGGAAAUGUAAGAAGUUAAAUUUGUUGCGACUUGUUGCCAUAAGAUUUCUUUCUUCUCCAUAUUUCAAAGACUUCCUGCUAUUGUGACAACUGAAAGUGGGAGUCCAUGACAAUUUUUUGCAAUUUGAUUUCCAAUAUAUUGUGACGACUGAAAGUGGGAGUCCAUGAUACUUCACUUGAACUUUCUGCAACUUGUAGGUUUCCAAUUCUGCAAUUCAUCUUCAUUGAGACUGCAAUGCAGUAAUCUUUGAUCUUUACUUUCACAAUCUCAAUUCUUUCUAACAGAAGAGAAAUUGCUAGAUCCAUUUUG
rnacentral:lncRNA from 1 species